rnacentral:rRNA from 1 species
GAUGAACGCUAGCGGCAGGCUUAAUACAUGCAAGUCGAGGGGUAUUGGGAGCUUGCUCCCAAGAGACCGGCGCACGGGUGCGUAACGCGUAUGCAACCUACCUUGAACAGGGGGAUAGCCCAGAGAAAUUUGGAUUAAUACCCCAUGGCAUAUUUGGAUGGCAUCAUCCGAUUAUUAAAGUCACAACGGUUCAAGAUGGGCAUGCGUCCCAUUAGCUUGUUGGUAAGGAACGGCUUACCAAGGCUACGAGUGGGUAGGGGUCCUGAGAGGGAGAUCCCCCANACUGGUACUGAGACACGGACCAGACUCCUACGGGAGGCAGCAGUGAGGAAUAUUGGUCAAUGGCCGCAAGGCUGAACCAGCCAUCGCCGCGUGCAGGAUGAAGCAUCUAU